UUAAGUUCAGCGGGUAUCCCUACCUGAUCCGAGGUCAACCUGAAAAAUUGGGGGUUGCUGGCAAGCACACACCCGGGCCUCCGAAGCGAGAAGAAUUACUACGCUUGGAGCCAGGUGGCACCGCCACUGAGUUUAAGGCCUGCCGGGACCGGCAGAGCCCAAUACCAAGCAGAGCUUGAGGGUUGUAAUGACGCUCGAAC
rnacentral:misc_RNA from 1 species